rnacentral:rRNA from 1 species
GACGAACGCUGGCGGCGUGCUUAACACAUGCAAGUCGAACGGAAAGGCCCUGCUUUUGUGGGGUGCUCGAGUGGCGAACGGGCGAGUAACACGUGAGUAACCUGCCCUUGACUUUGGGAUAACUUCAGGAAACUGGGGCUAAUACCGGAUAGGAGCUCCUGCUGCAUGGUGGGGGUUGGAAAGUUUCGGCGGUUGGGGAUGGACUCGCGGCUUAUCAGCUUGUUGGUGGGGUAGUGGCUUACCAAGGCUUUGACGGGUAGCCGGCCUGAGAGGGUGACCGGCCACAUUGGGACUGAGAUACGGCCCAGACUCCUACGGGAGGCAGCAGUGGGGAAUAUUGCACAAUGGGCGGAAGCCUGAUGCAGCAACGCCGCGUGCGGGAUGAAGGCCUUCGGGUUGUAAACCGCUUUAGCCUGUGACGAAGCGUGAGUGACGGUAAUGGGUAAAGAAGCACCGGCUAACUACGUG